GAUGAACGCUAGCGGGAGGCCUAACACAUGCAAGCCGAGCGGGAUUUGAGACUAGCUUGCUAGUCUUAAUGAGAGCGGCGUACGGGUGCGGAACACGUGUGCAACCUGCCUUUAUCUGGGAGAUAGCCCUUCGAAAGGAAGAUUAAUAUCCCAUAAUAUAAUGAUUGGCAUCAAUUAUUAUUGAAAGCUCCGGCGGAUAGAGAUGGGCACGCGCAAGAUUAGAUAGUUGGUGAGGUAACGGCUCACCAAGUCGAUGAUCUUUAGGGGGCCUGAGAGGGUGAUCCCCCACACUGGUACUGAGACACGGACCAGACUCCUACGGGAGGCAGCAGUGAGGAAUAUUGGACAAUGGGUGAAAGCCUGAUCCAGCCAUCCCGCGUGAAGGAUUAAGGACCUAUGGUUUGUAAACUUCUUUUCUACAGGGAUAAACCUACUCUCGUGAGAGUAGCUGAAGGUACUGUAGGAAUAAGCACCGGCUAACUCCGUGCCAGCAGCCGCCGUAAGAC
rnacentral:rRNA from 1 species